UAAAAUGAAACUCAUCAAGACUCAGGUUAAAGUAAACAGAGUCCAAGAAAAGGAAAUGUUUGGUAGUUUACAGCGAUGAGGUGAGCAGAACGGUUCUGAAUUUCUCCAACUAUACUGUUGUGUGCACUGUUAACUUGAGGCUUAUUCCCAUUAACAGACGGCGAAAGGUCUCUACUAUUAUCUUGCUUUUUCAACAAAUGAUACAGCUGUGAAACCGGAGGAGACUUCUGAGCGCGAGCUGCUUUAGCGAGUGGCCUAGGUGGUGGUGGUGGAGGCGGAGGCGGUGGUGUUGGUGGUGCAAUAGGCGAAGAAGAAG
rnacentral:lncRNA from 1 species